rnacentral:rRNA from 1 species
AGUGAACGCUGGCGGUAGGCCUAACACAUGCAAGUCGAACGGCAGCACAGUAAGAGCUUGCUCUUACGGGUGGCGAGUGGCGGACGGGUGGGGAAUACAUCGGAAUCUACUUUUUCGUGGGGGAUAACGUAGGGAAACUUACGCUAAUACCGCAUACGCCCUACGGGUGAAAGCAGGGGAUCUUCGGACCUUGCGCGAUUGAAUGAGCCGAUGUCGGAUUAGCUAGUUGGCGGGGUAAAGGCCCACCAAGGCGACGAUCCGUAGCUGGUCUGAGAGGAUGAUCAGCCACACUGGAACUGAGACACGGUCCAGACUCCUACGGGAGGCAGCAGUGGGGAAUAUUGGGCAAUGGGCGCAAGCCUGAUCCAGCCAUACCGCGUGGGUGAAGAAGGCCUUCGGGUUGUAAAGCCCUUUUGUUGGGAAAGAAAAGCAGCAGGUUAAUACCCCGCUGUUCUGACGGUACCCAAAGAAUAAGCACCGGCUAACUUCGUG